rnacentral:rRNA from 1 species
UACGUAGGGUGCGAGCGUUAAUCGGAAUUACUGGGCGUAAAGCGUGCGCAGGCGGUUCGCUGUGUCCGAUGUGAAAGCCCCGGGCUUAACCUGGGAAUGGCAUUGGAAACUGGCGGGCUUGAGUGUGGCAGAGGGGGGUGGAAUUCCGCGUGUAGCAGUGAAAUGCGUAGAUAUGUGGAGGAACACCGAUGGCGAAGGCAGCCCCCUGGGUUAACACUGACGCUCAUGCACGAAAGCGUGGGGAGCAAGCAGG